rnacentral:rRNA from 1 species
CCUACGGGGCGCAGCAGUGGGGAAUAUUGCACAAUGGGGGAAACCCUGAUGCAGCGACGCCGCGUGAGUGAAGAAGUACUUCGUUAUGUAAAGCUCUAUCAGCAGGGAAGAAAAUGAUGGUACCUGAGUAAGAAGCCCCGGCUAACUACGUGCCAGCAGCCGCGGUCAUACGUAGGGGGCAAGCGUUAUCAGGAUUUACUGGGUGUAAAGGGAGCGUAGACGGCAGUGCAAGUCUGGAGGGAAAGGCGGGGGCUCAACCCCCGGACUGCUCUGGAAACUGUACGGCUGGAGUGCAGGAGAGGUAAGUGGAAUUCCUAGUGUAGCGGUGAAAUGCGUAGAUAUUAGGAGGAACACCAGUGGCGAAGGCGGCUUACUGGACUGUAACUGACGUUGAGGCUCGAAAGCGUGGGGAGCAAACAGGAUUAGAUACCCUUGUAGUC